rnacentral:piRNA from 1 species
GGCUGGUCCGAUGGUAGUGAGUU